CAGGGUCUCACGACGCCCAAACCAACCGUGAACAACUCCCAAACUCUUUGCUCCGGCGGGCCGCUCGCUGGGGGAGCCCGGGCCGCCGCCGAGGUGGUGGUCCGCCGGGGCAGCCAACAUACAAAUUCUCUGAACUCUUCUCUGAAAAAACUUUCCAAAAGAUUAAUCA
rnacentral:misc_RNA from 1 species